rnacentral:rRNA from 1 species
CCUACGGGAGGCAGCAGUGGGGAAUAUUGCACAAUGGGGGCAACCCUGAUGCAGCGACGCCGCGUGAGUGAAGAAGUAAUUCGUUAUGUAAAGCUCUAUCAGCAGGGAAGAAAAUGACGGUACCUGAGUAAGAAGCCCCGGCUAACUACGUGCCAGCAGCCGCGGUAAUACGUAGGGGGCAAGCGUUAUCCGGAUUUACUGGGUGUAAAGGGAGCGUAGACGGCAGUGCAAGUCUGGAGUGAAAGGCGGGGGCUCAACCCCCGGACUGCACUGGAAACUGUACGGCUGGAGUGCAGGAGAGGUAAGUGGAAUUCCUAGUGUAGCGGUGAAAUGCGUAGAUAUUAGGAGGAACACCAGUGGCGAAGGCGGCUUACUAGACUGUAACUGACGUUGAGGCUCGAAAGUGUGGGGAGCAAACAGGAUUAGAUACCCCUGUAGUC